AGAGUUUGAUCAUGGCUCAGGACGAACGCUGGCGGCGUGCCUAACACAUGCAAGUGGAGCGACGAACCAGGGCUUGCCCUGGGGCAGAGCCGCGAACGGGUGAGUAACACGUGGGUCACCUGCCUCGAUGACCGGGACAACCCGAGGAAACUCGGGCUAAUACCGGAUGUGCCCGCAAGGGGAAAGGAAGCUUCGGCCUCCGCAUCGAGAUGGGCCCGCGGCCCAUUAGCUUGUUGGUGAGGUAAAGGCUCACCAAGGCUCCGAUGGGUAGCUGGUCUGAGAGGACGAUCAGCCACACUGGGACUGAGACACGGCCCAGACUCCUACGGGAGGCAGCAGUGGGGAAUCUUGCGCAAUGCGCGAAAGCGUGACGCAGCAACGCCGCGUGGGGGAAGAAGGCUUUCGGGUUGUAAACCCCUUUCAGUUGGGACGAAGCUCCGCCGGUGAAUAGCCGGCUGGGGUGACGGUACCUUCACAAGAAGCACCGGCUAACUACGUGCCAGCAGCCGCGGUAAUACGUAGGGUGCAAGCGUUGUCCGGAAUUAUUGGGCGUAAAGAGCGUGUAGGCGGCCCGAUUAGUCCGCUGUGAAAGUCCAGGGCUCAACCCUGGAAUGCCGGUGGAUACUGUCGGGCUAGAGUCCGGAAGGGGCGAGUGGAACUCCUGGUGUAGCGGUGAAAUGCGCAGAUAUCAGGAAGAACACCAAUGGCGAAGGCAGCUCGCUGGGACGUGACUGACGCUGAGACGCGAAAGCGUGGGGAGCAAACAGGAUUAGAUACCCCCGUAGUCC
rnacentral:rRNA from 1 species